AUUAUUAAGGACCUUAGUGAAAACCUUUAUACCUAUAUUUUGUCCAGAAAACAUAUCUAACCUUUUGCAAAAAAGACACAUCCCACUCAGAGUAAGCUGUAGCAUAAUGAUUUUGUUAUUUGUGUUGUCUGUGUAUACAGCGUACAGGAAGAGAGAGAACAACUGAGACUAAGCCAUCGAGCGCCACGGUAUCGGCCUUCUGUCCUGCGGCUGAACAGCUACUUAUCAGAGAUGAGUCUGGAUCUGGAUGCCGGUUCUAAGCUGUCUGGCCUUGGAGGAGAAGAGAGGGUGGAGACAGAGGUCAUCAUCAUCGCCUGCCCUGGGCCUUCUGAGAGACAUGUUCGCAGGCCUGGCAGCUCCUCUGAAAGUACUGAAAAACCUCUGAUUGAAGAUGCUCUGGAAGAGAGCGAGCCAGAGAGGGAGAGACAGACAGAGAGAGAGAAGGUGGAAUAUGGUCGGAGGGAAUGAAACAAGCAGUCAAACUGUCAAUAUCUCUCUCUCUCUCACUCGGCUCUCUCGUGGAGGUUGGUGCGGGGCCAGUCAAUACACUGUCAGAGCUCCAUUUAGCAGUGACGUGGUGGGGAGGCCCAGAGAUGUGCCUGGCUGACAGAGAUGGAUGCUACGGUCCUCCACCGUCUGCAAGGACAAAGGGACACACAGACAGGCAGGCCGGCAAGGAGGGAAGGUGGUGCAGUCCUGCAUUACUGCUCUUUGCAACAGCCAUCAUCAUCUGCGGGGAGUUGAAUUGUGGUUAUGGGGGGCGGGGAUGGGCAAGUGUGCUGAAGAAGAGGAACUCGUUCUUUUCUGAAACCUCUAGUUUUGUCAGCUGCACAUGCAUUAUUCUCUGCUGUAGUGUGAGAACAGGCAGUCAAUUACACUGAUAUCAGUUGCAAUGAGAAAGAUGUACUUGUCAAGCAACGCAGUGCUGAACCGACAGCACAGUAGUAUUGUUGGGGGAUUGUUGGUGUUGUAAUCUGACUGUCAAAUUUCAACUGAGCUUUAUUUGUACUAACCCAGAAUAUUCUAUUAAUAUUCAAGUUUUAAGGUUAUGGCUUCUAAUUAGUAAUUUUUGCUCAUUGCAUGCAUUAUCAGUGGAUAGACUUCCCACUAAUGAAACUACUUAGACUGUGUGAAAGAUAUUUUUUCUCAUGUUGGCAUUAGAUAACCACAUUCUCACUCGCAUGUCAUCCGGAGAAACAUGUGAAGAAAAUGUGGUGACCAAAAAAGAACAUAAAUAAAUAAGAUAUGAAAAAAAAAAAAAGCUUCCCC
ensembl:lncRNA